rfam:Corynebacterium riegelii strain PTDD_83A45 genome.
UGAGUUGGCUGGGUGAUCGCGGCGUUGUGAACCGCCCCAAACUUGGGGUAGGCGCAGGUCGAGGAAAGUCCGGACUCCACAGGGCACGGUGGUUGCUAACGGCAACCCGGAGCGAUCCGCGGGAAAGUGCAACAGAGAGCAAACCGCCACUGCCGUAAGGCAGGGGUAAGGGUGAAAGGGUGCGGUAAGAGCGCACCGGCGUUUGUGGUGACACAGGCGGCCAGGUAAACCCCACCGGGAGCAAGGCAAGAGCCCCCGCCUUUAAGGCGGAGGUUGUCGGACGUGAUGAGGCUGCCCGCCCAGUCCGAAGGUAGCUGCUUGAGGCCGCCCAGCAAUGGGUGGUCCAGAUGGAUGAUCGCCGCCCGAAAGGGUACAGAAUCCGGCUCAUAGGCUGACUCAUUCG